CAGAACCGAAACUCCCUGUUAUCUAAAAAUAACACAGACAGGGGUUUCCUUUGGGGUUUAAAAUCUUUUUUGCUUUAUGUUGUACUUCUUUAUAUUGGCAUUGGAGGUAUUUGAUGCCUUAGCUUAGAAGAGAACUCUGUGCAGUAAGCAUGCUGUGUGGAACUGUUUUGCAUGUGUAAACAAGUGCCCUUAGUAAUUUUAGCUUUGCCUUUUUCAAAUUUCAGAUGUACACAUGAGUCUAAUCUGGAACCCUGGAUGAUGAGGACUUGUUGACCUGUUUCUGAAUGGACCAGUGAGGGGUUGACCCGGAGAUGGUUGGUAGUGGUGCCUCACUUAGCUUCUGAAGGACCAGGUUCAAACCAAUGGAAGCUUUUCCAUUGACUUUAAUGGGGUUUGGAUGAGGCCCCAGAUGACUGUCCACUGUUGAUGUACGACAUUAAUCACCAAAACAUUGCAAGCCUGUUUGUUCAUUAUUCUGGAGGUCUUAUGUUUUUUAAAUCAAUCUCAUAUACUUUUAGGAUAGUAUUGUUACUAGAGAAAUGCUGUUUUGCACCGUUUUCACUCCAAAAUUAAUCACUGGAGGAGUUGCACCAACUUUCUACAUAUGACAUGAGUGGAAAUGUUUCCAGGAAGGUCACUGGAUCUGGAUUGCUCCAUAUCAAUGGGACUGAUUGCAAAACUUACUCUUUCAAUCCUUCAAUUCUGUCAGGAUUGCUCUGCUUCUCCAUUGCUGUCAUCCACUCGUCAUAAAGUUCAGAUGACAGUAGCUUAUGUGGGAU